rnacentral:misc_RNA from 1 species
AACGCACAUUGCGCCCGCCAGCAUUCUGGCGGGCAUGCCUGUCCGAGCGUCAUUUCAACCCUCAGGGAGCCCCUUCGCGGGGGGGACCUGGUGUUGGGGGCCGGCCGCCCGCGCCGCCCCCGAAAUGCAGUGGCGACCUCGCCGCAGCCUCCCCUGCGUAGUAGCACAACCUCGCACCGGAGCGCGGAGACGGUCACGCCGUAAAACGCCCAACUUUCUAGAGUUGACCUCGGAUCAGGUAGGAAUACCCGCUGAACUUAA